rnacentral:rRNA from 1 species
ACGGAAGGCAGCAGUGGGGAAUAUUGCACAAUGGGCGAAAGCCUGAUGCAGCGACGCCGCGUGAGUGAUGAAGUAUUUCGGUAUGUAAAGCUCUAUCAGCAGGGAAGAAAAAUGACGGUACCUGACUAAGAAGCACCGGCUAAAUACGUGCCAGCAGCCGCGGUAAUACGUAUGGUGCAAGCGUUAUCCGGAUUUACUGGGUGUAAAGGAAGCGCAGGCGGUACGGCAAGUCUGAUGUGAAAGCCCGGGGCUCAACCCCGGUACUGCAUUGGAAACUGUCGAACUAGAGUGUCGGAGGGGUAAGCGGAAUUCCUAGUGUAGCGGUGAAAUGCGUAGAUAUUAGGAGGAACACCAGUGGCGAAGGCGGCUUACUGGACGAUAACUGACGCUGAGGCUCGAAAGCGUGGGGAGCAAACAGGAUUAGAUACCCUGGUA